AUGCAGAGGUUCAUCUUAUUUGAAGAGGUAGAAACAGGAAUACAGAAACAAUCUUCUGCAAUGUAACACUGCUGCUUGUUUCACAAUUUUGUUUAAUUCAUUUUUAUGAACAGGCUCUUAAUUCAAGUCUCUUUUUUUCCCCUGCUCCCCCUGUGCAAUGCAAUCCCAUUUGUGUCUAGGUUACUGGCAACCAGUAUAUCAAGCUCUAGCCAAGCAUGUAUUAAAAUAAAGCUGCAAUCUGCUGAAAAACAGGUUUUAAGAUGGAAACAAAUAAUUAGAAACACACCAAUUAGUGUCUGUCUGACAACAGGUUGAGCUCUGCACGGAUUUAAACAAAGCUGUAAUGGCAGGAUGUGAGCGAUCCAAACUGGAGACAGUGGCUGAGUGUUGAUUUUAAUGGGUCAACUGAAAAAGAUGUGGGGAAGGAACAAACCUGGUUGGCUUUGGCUGGGGCUGAGCACCCAGAACUGUGAGAUAAAAGAGAAACACUUGGGGGCCUUGUGAGGCCUGAGGCCUGGGGGAGCAGGAGCUUUGGCUGAUGUUGGAGUGCAGCUGCUGGGUCCUGCCCCUCUGCAGGUGCCUGCAUGAUGUGUGUUUGCUGGGCACUGCUGGCACACCAGUCAAAGGAACAUCUCACCGCUGGAAUUGCCGUGUGCCCGCUUGUGUGAGAGAGCAAAUCACUCCAGCAGUAGCGUGGAUCUUCUUCUGCACCCAUUGUUAUGGAAAUCGCCUUAGAGACUGUUGCUCCAGCAAACAUUUUUAGAAGCACCAGUGAGUUGCGCAACAGGAAAAGUGCUCGGAGGUGCACAUUCCUCACCGUUGAGUCUGCAAGGAGAAGCCUUGUAAUGCUCCCACACCUCCCAGCUUCUCCAGAGCAAGCCUGGGAGCCUGCUGGUUACAGGGAGGCUUGGGCAGCAGGUGCUUCCAGGUGUGCUGCCACCAGCCUGGCUGCAGUGCCUGAGCCAGGGCAGGCCACCCCUCUGCCUGGUGACAGCAGGAGGGGUAGAGGAGAGCAAGUCACUGCCCCAAAAGCUUCCAAACCCCCACAGGUUAGGGCAGCCCACCCACAGGGCAGUUCCACUGCUCAUCCUCCAUUUGUGCUCAAACACCGCCCUGAUUUUAAUUAA
rnacentral:lncRNA from 1 species